rnacentral:rRNA from 1 species
GAUGAACGCUAGCGGCAGGCCUAAUACAUGCAAGUCGGACGGGAUCCGUCGGAGAGCUUGCUCGAAGACGGUGAGAGUGGCGCACGGGUGCGUAACGCGUGAGCAACCUACCUCUAUCAGGGGGAUAGCCUCUCGAAAGAGAGAUUAACACCGCAUAACAUAUCUGACCGGCAUCGGUUAGCUAUUAAAUAUUUAUAGGAUAGAGAUGGGCUCGCGUGACAUUAGCUAGUUGGUAGGGUAACGGCUUACCAAGGCGACGAUGUCUAGGGGCUCUGAGAGGAGAAUCCCCCACACUGGUACUGAGACACGGACCAGACUCCUACGGGAGGCAGCAGUAAGGAAUAUUGGUCAAUGGGCGGAAGCCUGAACCAGCCAGGCCGCGUGCAGGAUGACUGCCCUAUGGGUUGUAAACUGCUUUUGUCCAGGAAUAAACCUAGAUACGUGUAUCUAGCUGAAUGUACUGGAAGAAUAAGGAUCGGCUAACUCCGUGCCAGCCGCCGCUGUAAAAC